UACAGAGGUGGCAAGCGUUGUUCGGAAUUACUGGGCGUAAAGGGCGCGUAGGCGGUCAGCACAAGUCAGUUGUGAAAUCUCCGGGCUUAACUCGGAAAGGUCAACUGAUACUGUGCGACUAGAGUGCGGAAGGGGCAACUGGAAUUCUCGGUGUAGCGGUGAAAUGCGUAGAUAUCGAGAGGAACACCUGCGGCGAAGGCGGGUUGCUGGGCCGACACUGACGCUGAUGCGCGAAAGCCAGGGGAGCGAACGGG
rnacentral:rRNA from 1 species